GAAUGCUGACAUAAGUAACGAUAAAGCGGGUGAAAAGCCCGCUCGCCGGAAGACCAAGGGUUCCUGUCCAACGUUAAUCGGGGCAGGGUGAGUCGACCCCUAAGGCGAGGCCGAAAGGCGUAGUCGAUGGGAAACAGGUUAAUAUUCCUGUACUUGGUGUUACUGCGAAGGGGGGACGGAGAAGGCUAUGUUGGCCGGGCGACGGUUGUCCCGGUUUAAGCGUGUAGGCUGGUUUUCCAGGCAAAUCCGGAAAAUCAAGGCUGAGGCGUGAUGACGAGGCACUACGGUGCUGAAGCAACAAAUGCCCUGCUUCCAGGAAAAGCCUCUAAGCAUCAGGUAACAUCAAAUCGUACCCCAAACCGACACAGGUGGUCAGGUAGAGAAUACCAAGGCGCUUGAGAGAACUCGGGUGAAGGAACUAGGCAAAAUGGUGCCGUAACUUCGGGAGAAGGCACGCUGAUAUGUAGGUGAAGUCCCUCGCGGAUGGAGCUGAAAUCAGUCGAAGAUACCAGCUGGCUGCAACUGUUUAUUAAAAACACAGCACUGUGCAAACACGAAAGUGGACGUAUACGGUGUGACGCCUGCCCGGUGCCGGAAGGUUAAUUGAUGGGGUUAGCCGCAA
rnacentral:rRNA from 1 species